CAGGAAUCCGUGUGAAGCGAAGUAGGAGUCUUGGCAGGGAGAGGGGCGGACGGGGAGGGCAUGUUAUGUCAGGCAAAUGGUCUACCUCAAUUCAAGCUUCUGCGUUCUAGAUUUAAUGUGCUCAACAUCGCAGAGUAUACUUAGUCUCUGACUGCAAGUAGAUGGAUGCUACAUUGUAUAAAAGCGAGGAAGUGGGGCUCCUCUCUUCGGAAUCAAUGUUAUCUUCUGGCCCCAGAACCUUCCCACGUUGGCUCACAGAGCGUCUGGCUUCUCAUCCUAACUCCAGGUCCAGCGCUCAUUCCCCACGCCCCACUUCA
rnacentral:lncRNA from 1 species